UUCGGAUCGCAGGCUGCAACCCGCCUGCGUGAAGUUGGAAUCGCUAGUAAUCGCGGAUCAGCAUGCCGCGGUGAAUACGUUCCCGGGCCUUGUACACACCGCCCGUCACACCAUGAGAGUCGGGAACACCCGAAGUCCGUAGUCUAACCGCAAGGGGACGCGGCCGAAGGUGGGUUCGAUAAUUGGGGUGAAGUCGUAACAAGGUAAC
rnacentral:rRNA from 1 species